rnacentral:rRNA from 1 species
CUGGCUCAGGAUGAACGCUAGCGACAGGCUUAACACAUGCAAGUCGAGGGCAUCACGGGAGUAGCAAUACAACUGGUGGCGACCGGCGCACGGGUGAGUAACGCGUAUGCAACCUACCUAUCAGAGGGGAAUAACCCGGCGAAAGUCGGACUAAUACCGCAUAAAACAGGGGCACCGCAUGGUGAUAUUUGUUAAAGAAAUUCGCUGAUAGAUGGGCAUGCGUUCCAUUAGGUAGUUGGUGAGGUAACGGCUCACCAAGCCGACGAUGGAUAGGGGAACUGAGAGGUUGGUCCCCCACACUGGUACUGAGACACGGACCAGACUCCUACGGGAGGCAGCAGUGAGGAAUAUUGGUCAAUGGGCGGGAGCCUGAACCAGCCAAGUCGCGUGAAGGAAGAAGGAUCUAUGGUUCGUAAACUUCUUUUGCAGGGGAAUAAAGUGCAGGACGUGUCCUGUUUUGUAUGUACCCUGAGAAUAAGGAUCGGCUAACUCCGUGCCAGCCGCCGC